GAAAUUCUGGUAGAAUGUAUUUUGGUGAGGAAAGGCCGGACGGUGGCUAGCUGCUUUCGAAAGAAGGGAGUGAUGCCUAUGAGCCUUUGUUGUAGUCAUUGCUCUGAAAGGAGCAAGCAUGAGUGUCUAUCAGACGCUUUCCUUGAUGAUCGCCUUUGCGGUGUUAAUCGUGGAAAUCAUGAAAAACGA
rnacentral:snRNA from 1 species